GAUCAUGGCUCAGGAUGAACGCUGGCGGCGUGCUUAACACAUGCAAGUCGAACGAAGCUUCUUAAUGAUCCCUCGGGGUGAUUAAGAAUGACUGAGUGGCGGACGGGUGAGUAACGCGUGGGAACCUACCCAUACAGGGGGAUAACGGUUGGAAACGACCGCUAAUACCGCAUAAGCGCACGAGUACCGCAUGGUACGGUGUGAAAAACUCCGGUGGUAUGGGAUGGACCCGCGUCUGAUUAGCUAGUUGGCGGAGUAACGGCCCACCAAGGCGACGAUCAGUAGCCGACCUGAGAGGGUGACCGGCCACAUUGGGACUGAGACACGGCCCAAACUCCUACGGGAGGCAGCAGUGGGGAAUAUUGCACAAUGGGCGAAAGCCUGAUGCAGCGAACCGCCGCGUGAACGAUGAAGUGCCUAGGCAUGUAAAGUUCUAUCAGCAGGGAAGAUAAUGACGGUACCUGACUAAGAAGCUCCGGCUAAAUACGUGCCAGCCGCUGC
rnacentral:rRNA from 1 species